UUCAGUGAGUGCAGCGCUAUAUUAGUGCUAGGUAAGUGUGUUCACUGGAUCUUGGAACUCUUACCCUUUAUCGUUUCUCUUGAUACAAUUGGUACAUAAAAAAGAAGAACAAAAAGAACAUAUAGAGAUAAUAGUGUAAUAUGUCUUUAAAUGGAGCAAUCAGUGAAAUAAGUGAAUAUAUACACUCACAUUUGUUAGAGCCUUUUCUAGUGUUAGGCUCUAAACUUCUGCAC